rnacentral:rRNA from 1 species
UACGUAGGGGGCAAGCGUUGUCCGGAUUUACUGGGCGUAAAGAGCGCGUAGGCGGAAGGUGAAGCGUGGCCUGAAAGCCCCCGGCUCAACCGGGGAAGGCGGCUGCGAACUGGCCUUCUUGAGGGCGAUAGAGGGGGGCGGAAUUCCUGGUGUAGCGGUGAAAUGCGCAGAUAUCAGGAAGAGCACCAAUGGCGAAAGCAGCUUUCUGGGACGGUACUGACGCUGAGACGCGAAAGCGUGGGGAGCGAACAGG